AUCCAGCUGACGCGUCUCUGAUAGAACGAAACGCACGUCCUGGAU
rfam:Schistosoma haematobium scaffold2056_3, whole genome shotgun sequence.